rnacentral:misc_RNA from 1 species
UACGGAGGGGGCUAGCGUUAUUCGGAAUUACUGGGCGUAAAGCGCAUGUAGGCGGAAUGGAAAGCCAGAGGUGAAAUCCCGGAGCUUAACUUCGGAAUUGCCUUUGGAACUAUCGUUCUAGAAUCUGUUAGAGGAUGGUGGAAUUCCUAGUGUAGAGGUGAAAUUCAUAGAUAUUAGGAGGAACACCAGUGGCGAAGGCGACCAUCUGGGACAGUAUUGACGCUAAGAUGCGAAAGCGUGGGGAGCGAACAGG